rnacentral:rRNA from 1 species
AACGCUAGCUACAGGCUUAACACAUGCAAGUCGAGGGGAAACGACAUCGAAAGCUUGCUUUUGGUGGGCGUCGACCGGCGCACGGGUGAGUAACGCGUAUCCAACCUGCCCACCACUUGGGGAUAACCUUGCGAAAGUAAGACUAAUACCCAAUGAUAUCUCUAGAAGACAUCUGAAGGAGAUUAAAGAUUCAUCGGUGAUGGAUGGGGAUGCGUCUGAUUAGCUUGUUGGUGGGGUAACGGCCCACCAAGGCAACGAUCGGUAGGGGUUCUGAGAGGAAGGUCCCCCACAUUGGAACUGAGACACGGUCCAAACUCCUACGGGAGGCAGCAGUGAGGAAUAUUGGUCAAUGGGCGAGAGCCUGAACCAGCCAAGUAGCGUGCAGGAUGACGGCCCUAUGGGUUGUAAACUGCUUUUAUGCGGGGAUAAAGUGUACCAUGUAUGGUGUUUUGCAGGUACCGCAUGAAUAAGGACCGGCUAAUUCCGUGCCAGCAGCCGCGGUAAUACGGAAGGUCCGGGCGUUAUCCGGAUUUAUUGGGUUUAAAGGGAGCGUAGGCCGUUUUUUAAGCGUGUUGUGAAAUGCCGCGGCUCAACCGUGGCACUGCAGCGCGAACUGGAUGACUUGAGUGCGCGGGAGGUAGGCGGAAUUCGUGGUGUAGCGGUGAAAUGCUUAGAUAUCACGAAGAACUCCGAUUG